rnacentral:rRNA from 1 species
GGCGGGAAAGGAAAGCAUCUCCUGAGGUGGCGAGCGGCGGACGGGUGAGUAAUGCCUAGGGAUCUGCCCCUCGAGGGGGAUAACAGUUGGAAACGACUGCUAAUACCGCAUACGCCCUACGGGGGAAAGGAGGGGACCUUCGGGCCUUCCGCGAUUGGAUGAACCUAGGUGGGAUUAGCUAGUUGGUGAGGUAAUGGGUCACCAAGGCGACAAUCCCUAUCUGUUCUGAGAGGAUGAUCAGCCACACUGGGACUGAGACACGGCCCACACUCCUACGGGAGGCAGCAGUGGGGAAUAUUGCGCAAUGGGGGAAACCCUGAUGCAGCCAUGCCGCGUGUGUGAAGAAGGCCUUCGGGUUGUAAAGCACUUUCAGUAGGGAGGAAAGGGGGUAGUUUAAUACGCUAUAUCUGUGACGUUACCUACAGAAAAAAGACCGGCUAACUCCCUGCCACCAGCCGCGGUAAUACGGAGGGUCCGAGCGUUAAUCGGAAUUACUGGGCGUAAAGCGUGCGCAGGCGGUUUGUUAAGCGAGAUGUGAAAGCCCUGGGCUCAACCUAUGAAUAGCAUUUCGAACUGGCGAACUAUAGUCUUGUAGAGGGGGGUAGAAUUCCAGGUGUAGCGGUGAAAUGCGUAUAGAUCUGGAGGAAUACCGGUGGCGAAGGCGGCCCCCUGGACAAAGACUGACGCUCUUGCACGAAAGCGUGGGGAGCAAACAGGAUUAGAUACCCUGGUAGUCCACGCCGUAAACGAUGUCUACUCUGAGUUUGUGGUCUUGAACACUGGGCUCUCAAGCUAACGCAUUAAGUAGACCGCCUGUGGAGUACGGCCGCAAGGUUAAAACUCAAAUGAAUUGACGGGGGCCCGCACAAGCGGUGGAGCAUGUGGUUUAAUUCGAUGCACACGAAAAACUUACCUACUCUCGACAUCCACAGAAUUCUCAGAGAUACUUAUUGCCUUCUGGAACUCUGAGAAAGGUGCUGCUUGGCUGUCUCCACCCCUUGUUGUGAAAUAUUGGGUUAUAACCCCAAAAGCGUACUCCCUAUUCUC